AUUGAACGCUGGCGGCAGGCCUAACACAUGCAAGUCGAGCGAGAGGCGGACGGGUGAGUAAUGUCUGGGAAACUGCCUGAUGGAGGGGGAUAACUACUGGAAACGGUAGCUAAUAACGCAUACCAUCAGAUGUGCGCAGAUGGGAUUAGCUAGUGGGUGGGGUAAAGGCCCACCUAGGCGACGAGCCCUAGCUGGUCUGAGAGGAUGACAAGCCACCCUGGAACUGAGACACGGUCCAGACUCCUACGGGAGGCAGCAGUGGGGAAUAUUGCACAAUGGGCGAAAGCCUGAUGCAGCCAUGCCGCGUGUGUGAAGAAGGCCUUCGGGUUGUAAAGCACUUUCAGCGGGGAGGCGUUACCCGCAGAAGAAGCACCGGCUAACUACGUGCCAGCAGCCGCGGUAAUUC
rnacentral:rRNA from 1 species